GACGAACGCUGGCGGCGUGCUUAACACAUGCAAGUCGAACGGAAAGGCCCUGCUUUUGUGGGGUGCUCGAGUGGCGAACGGGUGAGUAACACGUGAGUAACCUGCCCUUUACUUUGGGAUAACUUCAGGAAACUUGGGCUAAUACCGGAUAGGAUCUCCUGCUGCAUGGUGGGGGUUGGUAAGUUUCGGCGGUUGGGGAUGGACUCGCGGCUUCUCAGCUUGUUGGUGGGGUAGUUGCUUACCAAGGCUUUGACGGGUAGCCGGCCUGAGAGGGUGACCGGGCAAAUUGGGACUGAGAUACGGACCAGAAGAGAACGGGAGGCAGGAGUGGGGAAUAGUGCACAAUGGGCGGAAGGCUGAUGCAGAAAAGGCGGGGGCGGGAUGACGGGCUGCGGGUUGUAAACCGAAUUAGAAUGAGAAGAAGAGUGAGUGACGGUAAUGGGUAAAGAAGCACCGGCUAACUACGUG
rnacentral:rRNA from 1 species